rnacentral:rRNA from 1 species
UACGAAGGGGGCGAGCGUUGUCCGGAAUCACUGGGCGUAAAGCGCGUGUAGGCGGGAAGCUCAGUCUGUGGUGAAAGCGCCUGGCUUAACCGGGCGAGGUCCAUGGAAACUAGCUACCUGGAGGCCGGUAGAGGGGGGUGGAAUUCCCAGUGUAGAGGUGAAAUUCGUAGAUAUUGGGAAGAACACCGGUGGCGAAGGCGGCGACCUGGUCCUUUUACUGACGCUGAGGCGCGAAAGCGUGGGGAGCAAACAGG